CAUUCUCUCUUGCCUGCCGCCAUGUAAGACAUGUCUUUGCUCCUGCUUCACCUUCUGCCAUGAUCAUGAGGCAUCCCCAGCCAUGUGGAACUGGUCUCACUUCACCCAGGCUGGAAUGCAGUGGUGUGAUCACAGCUCACUAUAGUCUCGAUCUCCUGGGCCUCCCACAUCAGCCUUUUACAGAAUCAAGAAGCCUGUUCAAGGCGAUGCAGCAGAGGAAGCUGGGUCUGCCACAGUCCAGGUCUUCCAAGGUCCUAUCCUUCCCACAGCUGCUGCACACAUUCUAAAAUUAAACUUCUUUCGUGGCAAUUUUCCCCCAGGAGGGAUUUCCCUGCAGUGGACCUCCUCCCCAGUGGUACCUUCAGCCAUCAGAACACCUCGCUUUAGAUCUGUGGGUCCCAAAUUUCAUCAAAUCCAAUGACCAUUUCUAUGCUGGAAUUCUGUGAAGCACAUGACCUCAAGUCUUUGGAUAAAUGGAAACGCAGCUUAUGCCGGAAAGAUGGAAGGCUGGCUGUACUAAUAUCAGAAAUGGAAGAGGAGAGACAUCACUAGAGAUCCCAUGGAUAUUGAAAGGAUAAUAAAGGAGUAUUAUGAGCAUUGUUA
rnacentral:lncRNA from 1 species